rnacentral:rRNA from 1 species
GAUGAACGCUGGCGGCGUGCUUAACACAUGCAAGUCGAACGGAUUUAAUAGAAAGCUUGCUUUCGGUUAAAUUAGUGGCGGACGGGUGAGUAACGCGUGGAUAACCUGCCGUAUACAGGGGGAUAACACUUAGAAAUAGGUGCUAAUACCGCAUAAGCGCACAGUUUCGCAUGAGACAGUGUGAAAAACUCCGGUGGUAUACGAUGGAUCCGCGUCUGAUUAGGUAGUUGGUGGGGUAACGGCCCACCAAGCCGAUGAUCAGUAGCCGGCCUGAGAGGGUGAACGGCCACAUUGGGACUGAGACACGGCCCAAACUCCUACGGGAGGCAGCAGUGGGGAAUAUUGGGCAAUGGGGGAAACCCUGACCCAGCAACGCCGCGUGGAGGAAGAAGGUUUUCGGAUUGUAAACUUCUGUCCUUGGUGACGAAGGAAGUGACGGUAGCCAAGGNGGAAAGCCCCGGCUAACUACGUG